ACUAAUUGUUAGCCAACAUGUUUCAAAUGUACAAUCCGUGUGUUUAAAUGGACCAGAAUGUAGUCACGCCCCUGCAUUACAUUGAAGCACACACCCUCUUCUCUCUGAUCAGACCCCUAAGAUCAUUUGUAACAUUGUUCAAAACAGGGUUUCGGGAGUUGCUGUUCAUCUAAACUCUACAGCUAUGGACUCAAGAACGGUGUUUGUCUUAUUAUGGAUGUUACUGUUGUCCACCUCCACUGGAAUCAAACUAGAUGGAAAUGGUUAUGUUGGCGUCACCAUUGCAAUCAGUUCAAGAGUACCACAGGAUAACACGCUCAUUGAUAAAAUCAAGGACAUGGUCACUAAAGGGUCGUUUCGUCUUCAUCAAGCAUUGGAUAAAAAGGUCUAUUUCAAAGAAGCAACGAUAUUAGUUCCACCCAACUGGAAUAGUAAGGAAUUUACCAAAGCAAGAGCAGAGUCCUAUGAAAAGGUACAGUGAAUUAUGCCAUUUUAUCUUAUGUGUCAUAUAUUAAUGUUUACUCAUUUCAUUAACAUACUUCUGACAAUUUCAAUGUGAAAUACAGGCAAAAAUAAGAAUUGAUAAUGCUAAUCCAGCAUAUAGUGAUGAACCUUACACUCAUCAGUAUGUUGAAUGUGGAGCUGAGGCUCAGUACAUUCAUUUCACCCCAAACUUCCUCCGAGACGACAAACUCAUUAAGACUUAUGGGUCAAGAGGAAAGGUCUUGGUUCAUGAAUGGGCUCAUCUGAGAUGGGGCGUGUAUGAUGAAUACAGUGAAACAAAACCAUUCUACUACUCUAAUGGCCGUAUUGAAGCUACAAGGUGUAGCAAAAACAUUGAAGGUCAGUUUUAUGAUGAAUCACUUCGACCGUGCCACACUGAUCCACAAACUUUACUACCAACUAAGGGGUGCAGUUUUUUUCCUAACAAAUAUCAAUGCAUCGGGUUGUUUGUCUCGUCCUUGAUGGCUCAGGACGCAUGAAAGUAUGCCAUAACAUUAACUUUACUUGAAAACAAAGAUGCUUCCAAUUAUUAUAACCUUCAAUGCUCUGAUAUGAGCUUAAUCACUUUGAAACCUAAGAAAGCAUUAAACCUGAUAUCACAUGCAUUUUUUUAUUGCACCCAU